UUUAAAUGAUGUAACCUGGAGAUAUCUCUGUAUCAGUGCUUAAGAGCUUCCUCAUUCUGUUGUACAGCAUUCCAUUAAACAGGUGUGCCACAUUUUAAGGGAUCUCAAACACCCUCAAAGGACAAUAGGGGACCAUAAAAAGAUUUUAGAUUUCUAGAACACUCCCUGUAAUGAAUCAUGGAUUAUCAAGGCCAGGUGGUGAAAGAGCCCCUGAAUGUAAGACCAAAGGAAAAAAUGGUAUUCUUUCAUCUGCUUCUCUGCUUCAUUUUUUUACCUGCUCCUGGACAUCUUCAAACUCUGAGCUGAGCAACUCUAUGAAGAUAGGCACAGCUCCUGCCUGAAUCACAAUCCGCGUCUGAAGAGAAUUUCCUGAAGCAAUAUUUGUCAAUACCCAAGCUGAUUCAAACUAUAAAGAUAAAAAUAAUUUUAUUAUAUUAUGAGCAUUUAAUAGCUUGUUUUUAGCUAUAACAAUAAGGUUUUCUGUAUGUGAAGAAAAGAAUCUGAAAUCAUUAUUUACACACAAUCUAUCAGAUGGAUUCUGUAUCAAUUUUAAAUGGAGAAUUCCCAGUACAAAAACCUUGCCCUAGAAUAUUCAGUCUAAAAUUUGGUCUAAAAUUUCAGACCAAAGUAGAGCUGACAUAAUACCAUAAAAAAAGAAUGAGGGACUGCUUCAUAUGCUGCCAUAAAUGAUCUCCCAAGAAACAAAUGAAAAAAAGG